GGAUGGUCUCAAUCUCCUGACCUCGUGAUCCACCCGCCUCAGCCUCCCAAAGUACUGGGAUUACAGGCCUGAGCCACCAUGCCUGGCUAAAGUUGAGAAAAAUCUUAACCCAUGUCCCAAUCUCCAUUCUUUGCUGCUUCUGACUCCACAAAGCAAUGUGGGCUCCGGGAUUAAUAUACAGGAAGAACUUGGAGGUGACAAUUCAGUGCAAAGGGAGGCACUAGAGGACAUUCCAGGAAGCUAAAUUUACAUGGCAAGCACACUGUGUUAGACUUCACAUUUGGCCGGGUGCCCAUGCUUAUAAUUCCAGCACUCUGGGAGGCCAAGGCAGGAGGAUAGCUUGAGCUCAAAAAUUCGAGACCAGCCUGGGCAAGACAGCGAAACCCCAUCUCUACAAAAAAUACAAAAAUUAGCCAGGCAUGGUGGCAUGGGCCUAUAGUCCCAGCUACUCAGCAGGCUGAGGUGGGAAAUGGCUUGAGUCCAGAAGGUGAAGGUUGCAGUGAGCCUGGGUGAGACUGUGAGAUCCUAUCUCAACAUUUUUUUUUUUUUUCUUUUUUAAGACGGAGUUUCACCAUGUUGGUCAGGCUGGUCUUGAACUCCCGACCUCAGAUGAUCCACCCGCCUUGGCCUCCAAAGUGCUUGGAUUACAGGCGUGAGCCACCACGCUCGGCAAAAAAAAAAAGAUUUCAUGUUUAUUUGGCAUGGCUGUGAUGGCUGUGAAGGGGCCUCUCAUGUUCCUCCUCCACAACUGCUUCAGAGUUUUAGAAUGAGGAGAAAAAAAAAAAAGACCCUUGCUGUGUAUUCUCAUCCAGAGCAUUUUACACCAAUAGUGUCCUUUUCCACCUCAAUUGGCUUCUAAAUCCCCACCCCAUCCCUUCAUGGCCCCUGUCUUAGCCCACCUGGGCUUCUCGGGCUGCCUGGAUUUAGAUCCCUAGCCAGACAAGGUCACAGUGGGCUUGAAAUGAGGCACAUGGCUUUCCCUGUCUUUGGCAGGCCUGAUGCAAUGGAGGUAUGUGCUGCACCUCCUUCUAAAUGGGACAAGAAAAGAGAGUGAACAGCCCAGAUCAGGCUGGGUAAGUAAAGGCUCAAAAGCCAGAGACAAGAGAAGAGAGAGAGGAGGGGACUAGUGUUUUGCUAGAGAAUUUCCCGGCUGGGCGCGGUGGCUCACGCCUGUAAUCCCAGCACUUUGAGAGGCCGAGGUGGGCAGAUUAUGAGGUCAAGAGAUUGAGACUAUCCUGGCCAACAUGGUGAAACCCCGUCUCUACUAAAAAUACAAAAAUUAGCCAGGCAUGGUGGCACUCGCCUGUGGUCCCAGCUACUCAGGAGGCUGAGGUGGAAGAAUCACUUGAACCCAGGAGGUGGAUGUUGCCGUGAGCCGAGAUUGCUCAAGACUCUGUCUCAAAAAAAAAAAAAAAAAUUCCCUCCAGGAUUCUGGGAUAAUUGGGCCUUUUCACUACUUUCAAAAUUGGCGUGGGUCUUAAUAGUGCUUGGGUGGGUCUGAAGCCACUCCCCUCCCGACUAGGGAUUCUUGAGACAAGGGACAGAUAAUUCUUCAAAUCAACCUUCCCUUUCUCUUUCCCACAGCUCCUAAUGGGACCAUACUUCCUAUAUUCUCAGCCACCAGCGGACAUUUCACACCGAACAGGCCUCAGUUGGAGCCCAGACAUCUUCCUUCCUGCAUUGUGCUGUCUCUUCUCCAUCCCCUCAGGAUAUGCAGAGAACAGAAAAUCAUUUUGCUGCCAGUGGAAGGUAGAAAGAAGCUACAUUUAUUAGGGAAGAAAAUACCCUUGGUGUCAAACCAUGGCCUGAAAAUAAAGGCUUUGGAUUAUUUCCACCCAUCUCUACUCCAUGGCUGCAGAAAAUAAAUGCUGAAGGUGUUUGUGUAUGAGGUCAUAAAGUUGUAAAGGAUGCCUUCAGUGUCUGGCUUGUUUUGGUGAUAGCCGGGGCCUCCGUGAUGGGCAAGCGUUAAAACCCAUGGCCAUAGCCAUUGGUACUGUUUUCAAAAGCACAGCACCCACCCUCAUGCCCUGAUGAAGGAUUUGUCCAGUAGCCUGGGCGUCAGGAUUCCUGGGCUCCAGGACCCACAGGUGAUUCACAGCUAGCCCCAGGCUAUGCCUCCUGGCCUCAGUUUCCCUGGCAUGCUCUACUAGUACUUCCUACCUACUCUGUGGGGUGUUAAUAGGGGUGAGGUACUUUGAACUUCUCAGAUGAAAGAGGCUGGGAAGCAGCACCCAGUUAUUAGAUCCUACGGAGCCAGGCGUGGGAGUUGAGGUUGCUUUCAUACUGUUCCAGCCAAAGUAGCCUCCUCAAAGUCUUUCAUUCAUCUGCCUUUGGCUCUGGCUGCCAAAAGCAGAAAGCAAAGCACAGUCCUAUUUCAAUGCUGUUUCAGAACAGAUGUCACUAAAAUGAAUUUGCCAGCUGCCCAUACCACCGGUGAACUAUGAUUGAGUAGUACUUUAUAGGUGCCUUGUUUCCUUCUCCUGAUUGGUUGCAAAACCUGUGGGACAAGGGCUGUGACUUUUCACCAAUAAGUAUACCAAAGGAGGGACACUCACAAUGUAGUCAGCAAAUGGGUUAUGAGAGAGCCAGGCUGACCGAAGUUCAAACCCCUCAUCUUUCUACUUUCUCACUGUAGCGUGGGUAAUGGCUUAUUAAUUUUCCCCAUCUUGUCCAUCUCUAAUGAGGAUUAUGUAUGUGGAAGCACUCCAAAAAACCAACAACUUCAUAUGUGUUAAAAAGUCCAGGCUGGACAUGCUGGCUCAUGCCUAUAAUCCCAGCACUUUAGGAGGCCGAGGCGGACGGAUCACCUGUGGUCGGGAAUUCAAGACCAGCCUGACCAACAUGGAGAAACCCCAACUCUACUAAAAAUACAAAAUUAGCAGGGCAUGGUGGCACAUGCCUGUAAUCCCAGCUACUCUGGAGAUUGAGGCAGGAGAAUCACUUGAAGCUGGGAGGCGGAGGGUGUGGUGAGCCGAGAUCAUGCCAUUGUACUCCAGCCUGGGAAAGAAGAGUGAAACUCCAUCUCAAAAAAAAAGUCCAGCUGGGGCGGUGGCUCAUGUCUGUAAUCCCAGCACUUUGGGAGGCUGAGGCAGGGAGAUCAUGAGGUCAAGAGAUGGAGACCAUCCUGGCCAAGAUGGUGAAACCCUGUCUCUACUAAAAAUACAGAAAUUAGCUGGGUGUGGUGGCAGGCACCUAUAAUCCCAGCUACUUGGGAGGCUGAGGCAGAAGAAUUGCUUGAACCUGGGAGGCAAAGAUUGUGGUGAGCCAAGAUUGUGCUGUUGAGCCCCAGCCUGGGAGACAGAGUGAGACUCCAUCUCAAAAAAAAAAAAAAAAGUCCAAAUGCAGGCUGGGCAUGGUGGUUUAUGCCUGUAAUCCCAGCAUUUUGGAAAGCAGAGGCUGGC